GCCUGAUGGUGUGAAAUGGUAGAACGCGAGACUCAAAAUCUCGUGCUGAAGAGCGUGGAGGUUCGAGUCCUCUUCAAAGCA
rnacentral:tRNA from 1 species